UAAAAUCCUACUUUUUUAAGACAGCUUGGGAAAUCAGUAUGUUAUAGCUCUCGUAAUUAGAUCUAUAGGACUCGUAAUUUUUAUUCCCUAUUUGUGUCCCAGAUGAUAAGAUCUCAGGAGGAGAAGUACAUUUUCCGAGUAUAUAAUUUCAUAGCAUUUCUAGAAUCACAAUCAAUAAAUUAAUGAAGACUCUGAAAGUGCCAUUUCCGACGAUCUAGAGAUUCCAAAUAUUCAACCCCCCC